ACCAGAGCUGGUGUGGUGGAAAUUAAAUGUAACUGGUGGACAAAAUAAUGGAGGGAGGGGCUGUUUUUCCCUCCUUGAGAAUCAAAAUGGCUUGAGUACAGGAAGGGGUGAGCUUUACCACCAUGGCAGCCAGCCCCAUCGUCUCCUGGGACUCCAAACUCUAGCCUGAUACUCAUGGGCCUUUAUCAUCCUGAUCCUGAGCAAUGGUCUGAUUAGACUGGGCCAAAGAAAGGAAACCAGAUGACAACGGCUACCUUGCCUAAAUUGGCUACAUCCUGAACACUACCUGAAUAGAGCUUCUUCCAAGCAUAAAGGCAGCCUGGGAGAAAGCACAAAGGUGCCUGCUUGGAAAUGAAACAAGCAGGCAAUGGAGGCUGGCCUUAUAGACCAACUGAAGGUGAUGGCUCUUCAGUCCGACAGAUGGACUGCUUGGAAGGUUUAGAUUCGCCACCUUUCCUUUUGAUGACUUUCCAUCCCCUCCCUUCCUAGCUGAAUGUUAUCCUCAUCCGCUCUCUGCUGAGUCUUUCCUCCCCCACCAGCAGAGGGCUGUCCGAAGUGGACUGCAGGAGGAUCAAAGGUGAAUUUUCCAUGAAGAACCAGAACAAAGUGACUGAAGUGAAGCAGAUUUGUGGGGACUAGGUGUCAACAGAAGAGGUGCUCCUGAGAAAGGGAGUCCUUUGGCAUUAUGCAUAGCACCAUUGUACGUCUCUCACUCUCUCUGUCUCACACACACAGCU